GAAGUAGCAAUACUUAGUGGCAGACGGGUGAGUAACAUGUAGGUAUCUGCCCUUUGGCCUGGAAUAACACGAGGAAACUUGUGCUAAUACCGGAUAAGUCUUUACGGAGAAAGCUUUAUGCACCAUUGGAUGAGCCUGCACUUGAUUAGUUUGUUGGUGGGGUAAUGGCCUACCAAGUACUGUGAUCAAUAGCUGAUUUGAGAGGAUGAUCAGCCACAUUGGGACUGAGACACGGCCCAAACUCCUACGGGAGGCAGCAGUGGGGAAUCUUGCACAAUGGAGGAAACUCUGAUGCAGCGAUGCCGCGUGAGUGAAGAAGGCCCUUGGGUUGUAAAGCUCUUUCGUCGGGGAAGAAAAUGACUGUACCCGAAUAAGAAGGUCCGGCUAACUUCGUGCCAGCAGCCGCGGUAAUACGAAGGGACCUAGCGUAGUUCGGAAUUACUGGGCUUAAAGAGUUCGUAGGUGGUUGAAAAAGUUAGUGGUGAAAUCCCAGAGCUUAACUCUGGAACUGCCAUUAAAACUUUUCAGCUAGAGUAUGAUAGAGGAAAGCAGAAUUUCUAGUGUAGAGGUGAAAUUCGUAGAUAUUA
rnacentral:rRNA from 1 species